GGCGCGGGGGCACGGCCCCUCCAGGCGGAGGCGCCGCUCGGGGGCAAGGGCCCCUCCCGGCCGAGGCAGCGUAUGGGGGCAGGGCAUCCGGGCGGGGGCGCGUCGAAUCCGGCCAGGGGACAGCGGAUCCGGUGGCGGUGCGUCUAGAUCCGGCCGGGACAGGCAGCUUCGGGUGGGGGAUGGCGGCUCCGACGGUGCAAUGGAGGCGAGAUGGGCAUGCCGGGGCGCGGAGCUGCGCCGCGGCCCCGGCGCGGCAGAGCAGCGCAGCAGCACCGGCGGUGGCGGCGGGCCGCGCCGGCAGCCCAGAUGGGCUCGACAGGCCAGGCUUUUCUUUUUUUUCUCCAUUAACAGAGGCGGGCGGCUGAACGCCUUGGAAAAUCCUGAUUUACCGUGACGGAACCUCCGAGGUGGUUGCCUGUGCCCGCCUCGGAAAAUUCUUUUCAACCGCCUCAGAAAAUCUUUUUUGUAGUAGUGUCGUGCUCAAACUUCUUUGCAUUGCAAAAUUCAUAAUUUUUUGACAAUCUUCAGAAUGCAUGUGAGUACUUUGGUGUGUGUUGCUAUAGACAUGGUUGUACAGAUCUUGGACCGUAGGACCCUAUCAAAGGAACUGUCCUCCACUGAUGCCAGACAGCUGUUCUAUUUCCCGUCCUUGUAGAUGUCGCAUCCGAAACAGUCUGAGGGACGCCUCCAUUCAAUGGCUGCCUAAGCAACUCCCAGAACACAGGUCAUAGCCACAUUUGCAAUGGAGUGACCGCGGUUCAACUUAGGCCCUACUUGGAUCCCAUGGGCUAAACUUAGGACUAAAGCUAGCCACUUUUAGCCAUGGUCUAUUUGUAUCCCAUAGACUAAACUUUAGCCAUGCAAAAGAAAAAGUCCCUUAUACCCCAGUUGCCCCAUCUUCUCUCUAUCCCAUCCCUUUCUCUCUCACUUAACGGCUCGGUUUGAGGGGCGAGGCAGCGUGGUGACAGCUCGACAACACACUAUUCCUUGCAACCAAAUUGAUUAAAGGCAGUAUGGAUAUUUUGUUUGUUCACGUACAGAUGGGGACACUGCAUGGGACAAGCAAAACAUUGCUCCUGGUGAAGAUAGUGAAUGGUUGCACACAAAUGAUACUUAUCAAAUGCGAUCAAUUCAUUUUUCCUCACAGGGCCAAGAAUGCCUCGUGAUUGGUUCGAAAUCAUCAAACUACCCUUGUUAUUUGGUGGAUACCCCAUUCUGUUUAUUGCUUUCCUGACUUGGCAAAUUACAUCAUGUAACUUACUCCCUCCGGUCUUCAAAUAACUGACGUUUCCGACUUGACACGGUCUUCAAAACUCAAUUUUGACAACUAUUUUUUUCUAUAGAAUAUAUAUAAUAUACGAUCAAAGUAUACUUUUAUAAAACUACAUUUUAAGAUGAAUCUAUUGAUACAAUUUUUAUACAUCCAAACUCAACACAUAUAAAUUUAUUUGAAGUCAAAGUUUAAAAUAGUUACUUAGGACAGCCUCAAAACGUCAGUUUUUUGAGGCCGGAGGGAGUAGUCUUCUAGAUAUUACCUAUCAGUGUAAUAUUUAAGAAUAAGUUUAUUUAACCCUCAGCUAUGGAGGUUUGUCUACUUAACCCCAUCAGCUACAAAACCAAGCAUUUAACCCCAUGAACUAUAAAAUACCAUCUAAAUGACCUGAACUGGUUUUGGACGCUGUUUCACAAGAUUUUCAGAACAAAGUCCCAUCGAUCAUACUGCUAAUUACAUCACGAGUUCCACGCCUUAAUGGAUAUAGAAGUAGUUGACUGAUAAUGAUUAGUAUAUUGAUUAAUUAGCCAAACAUUGGACGAAGACUAGGGAAGACCGGACGAUUGAUGCUUCGUCUCAUUGCAUAAUUAGUUUUUGCAUGUGAAAUAACGUGAAGGGGACAAAGUUGGCCAGAUGCAUGCACUUCUCGGUACAAGGUGCAAUACUUUGACAAAGUACUAUUGUAACGAACAUGGCACCAUUUAUGUCAUUUUGAGUGAUUUUGGUGAUCGUAUGACAACACAAUCAAUGGGACUAAUGGUUUUGUUGAGUGAACAUUUCUAGAUCCCAGGGAUGAUGUAAAAAGGUCAUACAAACAAAUACACGAAGAAAGAACUCAAAGAAAUGCUGAAUUGGACGAGUUCUACUGAAACCAGUAGCACCGGAAGAACCGAUGCCUAUAGUAUCGGUACAUCCAAUGGUUGUCGGGAGAUCCGACGGCCUAGCUUUGGUGCAAGACUGAGCGCCUCUGGAGAUCAAGUGAAGAAAGAAUGAAGCACCAGUUGAACCGACAGUGUCAAGAGAAACGUCGGUGCAAUCAACGUACUAUGUUCCAGAGAUGAUGUCAAGUGCGAGGGAACCAUGCCUUCAGCACCAGUUGAACCGGUGGAGUGUCGGAGCAAGGCGUCGGUGCAAUGACGUCAGUAAGGGCAACGGCUACAUGAAGAUCAAGAGGCACCGGUUGAACCGACACUAAGUCAUCGGUUAAACCGGUGGUUGCCAACUCAGCUGCAGAAGCGUCAGAGAAGCCGACGGCUAGUUUCAGCUUGUGAGUGACCGGAAGAACCGAUGCAGAAGCACCGGAAGUUCCGAUGCCCACGCAGAAAAUCUGCUAACGGCUACAAACAGCUAGUUCGACUUGGAGGCCUAUAUAUAUGAGCUCCCCCGACCAUUUGAAGCUUGCUGGAGUUGCUAGA